rnacentral:rRNA from 1 species
UACGAAGGGUGCAAGCGUUACUCGGAAUUACUGGGCGUAAAGCGUGCGUAGGUGGUGAGUUAAGUCUGUCGUGAAAGCCCCGGGCUCAACCUGGGAAUGGCGAUGGAUACUGGCUCGCUAGAGUGCGGUAGAGGAGAGUGGAAUUCCACGUGUAGCGGUGAAAUGCGUAGAGAUGUGGAGGAACACCAGUGGCGAAGGCGACUCUUUGGCCUGUAACUGACGCUGAGGCGCGAAAGCGUGGGGAGCAAACAGG